AUACCUUUCUCGGCCUUUUGGCUAAGAUCAAGUGUAGUAUCUGUUCUUAUCAGUUUAAUAUCUGAUAUGUGGGCCAUUGGUUCACACGAUAUUAACUCAAUUUUUUAAGGGGAAGAGUCCAUUAAGGUAGCUUGCUGCCUGGGCUCUUGUGCGUUGCCCAUGCGUUGCACUACUGCACGGGCCUGGCGCACCCCAC
rnacentral:snRNA from 2 species